GACAGAGAAAUGACAACAGAGAGAGGAAACUGGAUGUAGUACAGCAGAAGCAGGUAAGCAGAUAAAAUUUCCCUUCUGUAUAGAUUAGUAAAGACACAACUUCUGCCGGCACAGGAGUGGAGAUGAGGGAAGAGACACCGUAUUAGGAAGGAUGGCCAAGCCUGAGUACCUGAGGGGUCACUUUUCACACAAGGGGCCAGCCCCUCCGGCACCACGGCUCGCCUAUUGUGCGAAGCAGCACCGUCCAGGUGGCCUCACCUCACACCACCUCCGGAAUCCUUACGGGUUUAUAUUUCAAGUCAUCUUUGAGUCAAAAAUGUCUUCUUCCACGCAAUUCCUCUUCAGCAUCUUCCCGUUACCAUUAGGACACGGACCCAUCUCUUAGACUCCGCAUCACACCAUGGUAGGAACUUCCAGUUCCCUCACCUUCACGUCCAGAAACACAGAGCCAAAGGAGUGGACAGGGCUCAGAUCGCCACAAUCAACCGAAAGCUUGUUCUGAGUCACCUUGAUUUUUAGAAUUCCUUUGCAAAGCCAGUCCCACUGACUGCCUUUGUCCCCAGUUCUUCGAAGUUCUCUUGUUAAUGGCCAUAUCGAACUCUUCUUGCCUUGUUCUUUUUUUUUUUUUUUUUUUUGGUUCUUUUUUUCGGAGCUGGGGACCGAACCCAGGGCCUUGUGCUUGCUAGGCAAGUGCUCUACCACUGAGCUAAAUCCCCAACCCCUCUUGCCUUGUUCUUAAGGCUUACCUUCUCUUGCUGUAUUCUGCUCAUAGCAUUGCUUCUUUCUUAUGUAGCCUAAAGCUCAGCCCUGGGCUUUCCAGAGCUCUGGAGAAGAAAGCUUGGUGGUUUAAUGAUUAAGUCAUCCAGUGGGGCUCACCUGCUCUGAUUCCCAAAGAGCCCUGCAGACUUCCCCUGCACAGCUUGAGCUGUUUUGUUUGCCUCUCCUGUGGUGGUGAGGAGAGGGAAGAAAAGUAGACUUCCUCUUCCUGGUAGCUGACUAUGUUACUUCAGGGCCCCUAAGGAGACAGAAACUGUUUCAGAUUUUCACUGUCCUAAGACAAAGAAUCCUGCAUUUUGUGAAGCAAAUAGAUAAAGAAACUAAGGAACAAACUAACAGAAUUCAGUGCUGAACCAUGGCAUCCUGGAAAUCAUCUGAGCAAAGGGCAAUGUUAAGACCACAAUGUCAAGACCAUUAUCUUAGAGAUUCUUCUUUUAAAAAUUAAAGCAUUAAGUGUUCUCUCUGUACUUCGUAUGGGAUUCUCCAACUGAACAUAGACUACUUUAACAGAAGCUAAGCCGAUGCCUGUGUGGAACACGUUUAAAUACUGGCUGCUAAGUGAGAGCCUGAAAUGCUGAGGACACCUGAAGCUAAGUGAGCACAGUGGACUGUCUCAGGAUGCACCCGAGACGGCUUUCUUCUCUCUUUGUUUGCCCUAUUUUGAGAAUGAUGAUUUGGACAGGCAAAUGUACUGCAAAGAACUUAGAAAAUGCUUGAAACCGAGUCAAGAGACCGCAGGAAAACAGCUACCAAAGCAGCCAAAUUUACUUCCCUAACAUUGGUGUUCAGACGCUAACAGUCCAAUUCACAUCUGGUUUAUUUGGGGGGAGUGGAUGCAGAAUGUUACACAAAUCAUUUGCUGACCAUUGCACAUGGAAAUCCUAGAAUUAAAAUUUAAUAAUAAUAAUAAUAAUAAUAAUAAUAAUAAUAAUAAAUGGACAUUCUGUUUUUUA